rnacentral:sRNA from 1 species
UUUUUAUUUUAGUUUUCUUAAAUACUUAAAAAAAAUUAAAUAUUCAUUUAAAAAAAAAAUUACAUUGACUUUUAGACUAUUUAUCUGUCAUCAUUAUAAUGCACAAACAUUUAAAACAUCGUUUUAUACACUAACCAUUAUUCGUUGGUGUACAAGUGUGUAUACCGAUAUUUCAUAAAUCAUCACCGACUUCUCUUAUACAAACAUAAUAAUUGUAUUAGCCAAAUAUUAUUAUUCAAUAUAAUGGUGUACAUGAUGGUGUACAUAAUUAAGUUACUCUUAAUGGUGUACAAAAUGAUUGAAACUAUUAUGACGAUUGGUGGAUAGAAUGAUAUAUACAACUUUUAAAUGAUAACAUACAAGAUUGGUAGACAAAGUGUACAAAACUUGGUGUACACUUAUAGAGAAUGUAUAAAUCAUUAUUUCAAUUAGUGGUGUGCAUCAUCUCGUACACCAAUGUUAGUACACUGUCUCAUAGAUUUUUAAAGGUGUACGAUUAUGUACACCAUAUUUUUCAUCAUCUAUGUACAUCAUUUUGUACACUGUUAUACUCAGUGUAUUAUUUUCUACAUCAGUAAUUAUAUAUUUAUUUUUACGUUAUUGUU